UCACAGGAGAGGCAAAGCACCAUGCGCAGCUGGUUUGAGAAGACGAGUUUCUCCCGGCCCUUCAGCUGAGGCUUGUUGUAACCAUUCACUUGCAACAGCUGGGGAGGCAAGGGGGAAGGUGCUAAAGAUGGGGGUCUGCCAGGCUUGCCAAGUGCUGGGAAGGAUGCUUAACUAUUAGUAACGUGAUCAAAAAAAAAAAAAAAAGAGAUAAAAUAAUGGUUUUGCAGAGUCUCUUGAGAUUUCGCUUGCAAAGGAAAAGUGUUGUUAGCAGCCACCUAGUCAAGGGUGACCCUGGAGGAGGCAGAUGCCCUGUGCCAUGCAGUAGCCCAUGGGGACCAGGUGCAUGUACCAUCCAUUUUCACGCUGGGAUUGCUUCAACAAAAUUGCUUGGAUCUGCAAGAACAUUUUGUCCAGUCCGUACCCAACGCAGGGCCACAAGCAGGCUCCAGCUGUGGUUUUCAAGUCUUGCUGUUUUCUGGGAUGGUGCCACGUCUCCAAAGAGCUAAGGAGCCUUUUCUCCUGUGAGAAAUCCUCACCGGGACUUGCUUCUGAGUAAUCACAGCUCAGGGUGAACUUCCAGGCCAGAGGGAUGAAUCACAACCAUCCUUCUGUAGCAUAAACUUACGGUAUCACUCCAGUUUCCAGUCUGCUUCAUCCGAAAUAAUCGGCUGGCAUCAGCCUGCAGCACCUUGUGGCAGACAACGCUGACCUGAGAUGUACCUGAUCUUGUGGCUUCUGACGAGUGAUAUGGCUGCUGACGUGCAAGUUUGAGGUCUAAAUAACACUGACUCCGGUCCUGCAAAAUUAAAUAGAAAAUAUUUCUCUCUCCUCCAGCCCCGUCCAGGCUUUUCCUCCCAGUGCACUGGGGAUACGCUCACAGAUGCCGUUUUGCUAAAAGCCGGAUAAUACUGAGUGCUGUCUGAAACCGAAUACAAGGCAGCAAUUCAGGGGGAUGUUUCUGUUGAUGCCAUGAAGCACAAAAGCACAAUUCAAGUGGAGCAGCCAAAUCUCAGGGAUGAAAUUGCAGCCCUUGUAUUGUGCUGAGGAUGGGGCCUUGUUUUACUAAUCUACUACAGCUCUGCAGGGCUUUCAAUUUUAAAUAUGAAGAAAAGAAGAUCUGGAUGUAAAUGCAGUGGCAAAUGGGGUUACUCAUGACAAAGAAAUGUGCUACAGAAACUUAGCCAGGCAGAGAUUUCUUUUGGACAGGGGAGUCACGUCCAUGCACACAUGCACAAAUGCAAGUUCUCGGUUUCUCUCAGCCUUAGGAAGAACAGCUAGAUGUGGUGCUGCCUCCUUUGAGGGUUGGUGUUAAGGUACCAAAGGUUGCAUCUUUCCUCUUAAUUAUGCUGGAUCCUCACUCUCAAAGGCACAUGUUUUCAAGCUGUAUUGCCACCUUCAUCUUUUUGUGUGUGUUGAGGAAUUCCUCAGCUUCCUAGCUGAGAAAUGAGCAUGUUUUCUCUAAGUAUUUUCCCUUGCUGUCAGAUGCAAAAAUAGAGUAGAUUAUAUUGAGUACAGUGUAAAAUCACAUGCUAAGCACCGAAGGACAGUUGCUGUUUCAAGGCUUCAGUGUAUUUCUUCCCUAUGCCCUUACUCAGGAAAGAUGCAAAUGAGCUGUGGAGUGAAAGUCAAUGUAUAUCGCAAAUAAUAUUUUGCUCCUGAUAAAUUAACACACUGACCUCCUCAAGGUGCUUUUGAAGGUUGUUCAAAGCAUCGGUGGCAUUGUUGAAUGGCUUUUCUGUGACAUUCAUCAUCUAACCCAAAAGGAUUCUGCAAUAGUUAUAAAAGGGAAAAAAAAAGUGAGCAAUACUU